UGUAGUCUGUUCUUGCUUGUAUCAACUAUCCGAUACCAUUUAGAAAGGAAACUAAAAGAAGCCAAAAAAAAAAUGAAGGAUAUUCUCUAGAUAUCCGACAGCCUGAUGGUCAGCUUUUAUGUGGUUAUAAUUGCUUGACUAGGGUUAAAACUGAAUCACACCUAAAGCAACUUUUUGAACUUGCGACUGAAAUUAUGGCUGAAAGAAAAUUUGAUUUACGAGGAGGGAAGUACACUAACCCAUCUGAAUCUAUUGCAAGUCCAACAAACGUCCUAGGAAUGAUGUGGGACAGACAUAUUGAUACUUUUUCCAUAAACAUCCCUGAUGUGAAAGAAGUAACGAAUGUAGUAAUCACCAAAAGAAAUAUUUUAGCUGUUUCGCACAAAGUUUUUGAUCCUCUCAGCAUAACUGGUCCAGUGACACUACGUCCAAAACUCUGGCUACAACUGUGCGGUCUCCUCGGCCACGCCAGACACGUAUACGGUCAUCAGAAUAUUCCACGUAGAACUGGGACUCAUUUGAAAAGGCGACAUUGUGCUUCUCCUGUACCCAGCGUUGUUGUCUGGAGCACCAGAGUCGCCGUCUCUCUUUAUGCUGCAUUGUCAAGGGAAGCCGAAGUAAUGGUCGUCGUGUUGAUAGCCCACGCGUGCUGCAAACGCGAUACUAGGCGUGCUGCAAGCAUGCCCAUUUCUUGACUAAUGGUCCGUGAUGUGUUUUGCAGGGAUGACCUCACAAUAUGUCUGUACUCUCGGGCGUUAGUCAUAGGAGGACGUUGAGAUCCAGCAUACCGUUCAAUAUGACCCUCAGCAAACCAUGGUUUCCAUAUUCACAUGACAGUGGUUGGAUGGUGACCAGUGCGACGGGAGAUAUCACGGGACGAUAAUCCACACUCUCAAUAGGCAACGAUCCUAACUCUAUCGCAUUCCGACACUUGCUGUUUAAAAGCACAAGUGCAGAGCAUGAAUCAAGAUGAGAAGCAUCCAAUAUUUGAUGUUGUCCGCACAGCACAGAGGAUAUGAGGGACAGUCACAAAGCCCAAGCCAAUACAAGCAUGCGGGCAAACAGUCAUUGCCUGUAUUACAUAUUUUAAUGUUCAAAAUUAUGAUUUUUACAACAGGUGUAAAUUUUAAGAAUAUUUAUAGAAAGGAGAUAGUUCCAAGAACUAGGUUACUAAUGCAAAAUUCUCAAACGCAAAUAGGAAUUGGUUUGGAAUUG